ensembl:lincRNA Gm13373 predicted gene 13373
GGACCAGUUUUUCCACUCCCUCCCACUAGCAGUGUGGACUUGUAGAGCAAGGGAGGGUGAUCAAGAGGAAGAACGUGAAGUCUGCCCAGCGUUCCCAUGCCUCUCUCCCACUGGUGAGAGUUGAUGGUGACAGCUAGAACUCCCAAGGCCCAGUGAGGGGACCAUUAGCCAAGGGUCACACUGCCCAGUGCAUUCCCAGUCUCCGACUCCUGAGUCCUUGUCUCCUGAUCCACUUUUGUGGAAGCCCAAGGCCAGCCUCAUCAAGUGGCAGUUGCUCUGUAGCUUCCUGUUCCCCCAGAAGAUCCACCCCGCCACAGUGACUGCAGAAGCCCUUUAAGAAAGGAACCAGCUGGGCCAACGAUGGAGCUCAUCUCCACCCUCAUGAUAUGAAGAGGUGAUGGCUGUCUACAAUGAGUCAUCAGGGGAUAUUAACCCUCCUCGUCACAGCCCAGAAGCCACAGCCACGGAGUUGAUGCUACCACUUCAAGGUCUCCAACUAAGAGGGAGAGUCCCAGGAAACUGCUGGUUUUGACUACUUCAGAUUUUAUAGAGUUAAGAAGCCCUAACACCCAACAUCCUGAAACAUUAGGAAUACAGACUUGUGUUUCAGCUUCCUGUGUUAUACUGAUGGAAACAAACAAACAAACAAACAAACAAACAAAUGUCUUAAC